rnacentral:rRNA from 1 species
CACCGGCAGCUCUAGUGGUAGCAAUUUUUAUUGGGCCUAAAGCGUCCGUAGCCGGUUUAAUAAGUCUCUGGUGAAAUCCUGCAGCUUAACUGUGGGAAUUGCUGGAGAUACUAUUAGACUUGAGAUCGGGAGAGGUUAGAGGUACUCCCAGGGUAGAGGUGAAAUUCUGUAAUCCUGGGAGGACCGCCUGUUGCGAAGGCGUCUAACUGGAACGAUUCUGACGGUGAGGGACGAAAGUUAGGGGCGCGAACCGG